rnacentral:tRNA from 1 species
UGCGGCCGUGGCGGAACUGGUAGACGCGCAGCGUUGAGGUCGCUGUGGGGUUAAACCCGUGGAAGUUCGAGUCUUCUCGGCCGCACCAG